rnacentral:rRNA from 1 species
GACGAACGCUGGCGGCGUGCUUAACACAUGCAAGUCGAACGGUGAAGCUCCAGCUUGCUGGAGUGGAUCAGUGGCGAACGGGUGAGUAACACGUGAGCAACCUGCCCCUGACUCUGGAAUAAGCGCUGGAAACGGCGUCUAAUACUGGAUAUGAGAAGGGUCCGCAUGGACACUUUCUGGAAAGUUUUUCGGUUGGGGAUGGGCUCGCGGCCUAUCAGCUUGUUGGUGAGGUAAUGGCUCACCAAGGCGACGACGGGUAGCCGGCCUGAGAGGGCGACCGGCCACACUGGGACUGAGACACGGCCCAGACUCCUACGGGAGGCAGCAGUGGGGAAUACUGCACAAUGGGCGAAAGCCUGAUGCAGCGACGCCGCGUGAGGGAUGACGGCCUUCGGGUUGUAAACCUCUUUCAGCAGGGAAGAAGCGAAAGUGACGGUACCUGCAGAAGAAGCACCGGCUAACUACGUG